GAAAGUCUCUGUGUCUUCACUGUAACGGAGUGGCUGCUGUGUCCUCAGUGAUAGAUCAGGUUUAGGGGGGGGGCACUAGUAGCAGGCAGGCUGCAGCCACCAACCAGCUGGAUGUGUGUUAACUCCACAUCUGACCUCUAUGGGAAACACAGCAGCCUCCUCUCCUCUCCUCUCUCCUGGAGCCGUGACUGUGGGAACAAGGGGGGACACAGCGUCACCCCUCCCUCCUCCUCCUUUUCCUCCUCCUCCUUCUGUCUCAGCUUCUUGCUGUGUGGAGCUCAGAGAUCUGGCUCUGGACAGAGCUCAAGACAUGACAGACACCCUGGCUCUGAGGAUUGCACUGACGAGUGACUUUUUGGGGCUGGAUUGAUUCAGUGAGAUUUUCAGUUCGUCAACCAGACGGUUAGUUAGGCAGCCAGUAAACCAGUCACCAGGAUCCUUCCCACAUACCUCUCCCACUGUGCGAAUAUCCUCAUCUGAACCCUCUGAUGUGACUCAGGUUUAACCAGGACUUCUGGGCACGGUCACAGGUGCUCCACAUCUGCUGCGGAAGAAGAUCUUCGUAAGAGCAUCUGGAGACCAAAAAGGAUGUAGCACUAAAAAAAAAAAAAGAAAGAAAGAAAGAAAGAAAGAAAGAAA